GUGAAUCAUCGAAUUUUUGAACGCAAAUUGCGCCUUUUUCGAAAGGCAUGUCUGUUUGAGGGCACCAUUUAACAAUUAAUGUGCAGCGGUUUUUGUUGCACACGUUGAUGAGCUUUCCAAGUAUUUUAAAUUUUUGGUUGCGCAUAACGAACAGCGUGAAAGUUUUUUUCAGUUCGAGUUUAGUAAAAUCUUUGCUUUGUUUGUUAAAAAACAUAAUCGCGCAAUGGUUGUGUCAAUUUCUUUUUAUCCCUGCCCCAUUGCCACUCUUUCUUA
rnacentral:misc_RNA from 1 species